rnacentral:rRNA from 1 species
UACGUAGGGUGCGAGCGUUGUCCGGAAUUAUUGGGCGUAAAGGGCUCGUAGGCGGUUUGUCACGUCGGGAGUGAAAACUCAGGGCUUAACCCUGAGCCUGCUUCCGAUACGGGCAGACUAGAGGUAUGCAGGGGAGAACGGAAUUCCUGGUGUAGCGGUGAAAUGCGCAGAUAUCAGGAGGAACACCAAUGGCGAAGGCAGCUCUCUGGGACGGUACUGACGCUGAGACGCGAAAGCGUGGGGAGCGAACAGG